AACGAACGCUGGCGGCAUGCCUAACACAUGCAAGUCGAACGACACCUUCGGGUCUAUUGGCGCACGGGUGCGUAACGCGUGGGAACCUGCCCUUAGGUUCGGAAUAACUCCCCGAAAGGGGUUCUCAUACCGGAUAAUGUCUUCGUACCAAAGAUUUAUCGCCUUUGGAUGGGCGCGCUUUGGAUUAGCUAGUUGGUAGGGUAAAAGCCUACCAAGGCGACGAUCGAUAGCUGGUCUGAGAGAAUGAUCAGCCACACUGGGACUGGGACACGGCCGAGAAUACUACGGGAGGGAGGAGAGGGGAAUAUAGGAAAAUGGGGUAAAGGCUGAACCAGCAAGGCCGGGAGAGUGAUGAAGGUCUUAGAGUUGUAAAGCUGUUUUACCCGGGAGGAGAAUGACAGUACCGGAAGAAUAAGCUCCGGCUAACUCCGUG
rnacentral:rRNA from 1 species